AAACAUGGCUCUCUGUAUAUUGAAGAUAGAGAGUCGGACCUGCCCGGUGAAUUUUUUAACGGCCGCGGUACUCUGACCGUGCAAAGGUAGCAUAAUCAUUUGCCUUAUAAUUGAAGGCUAGAAUGAAUGGUUUGACAAGAAUACAACUGUCUCUUUACAAUUACAUAAAAUUUUAUCUGCAGUUGAAGAAGCCUGCAUUUGAAUAAAAGACAAGAAGACCCUAUCGAGCUUAAAAAAAACUGGUGGAAUAACAAACUUAAUCCUAACUUAUAAAUAAAUAAAUAGUCAACUACUGGAAAUUUUGGUUGGGGCGACCGGGGAACAAAAAAAACUUCCUUUAUAAAAAUUUAGAUGCCCAAAUAUUGAUCCAGCAUUAUAUGAUUAAAGAAAUUAGUUGCCCUAGGGAUAACAGCAUUAUCUUUUUUAAGAGUUCUUAUCGAAAAAAAGUUUGUGACCUCGAUGUUGGACCAGAAUAUCCUAAAGAUGCAGCC
rnacentral:rRNA from 1 species